rnacentral:rRNA from 1 species
AGAGUUUGAUCAUGGCUCAGGACGAACGCUGGCGGCGUGCCUAAUACAUGCAAGUAGAACGCUGAAGAAAGGAGCUUGCUUCUUUUGGAUGAGUUGCGAACGGGUGAGUAACGCGUAGGUAACCUCCCUUGUAGCGGGGGAUAACUAUUGGAAACGAUAGCUAAUACCGCAUAACAGCUUUUGACACAUGUUAGAAGCUUGAAAGAUGCAAUUGCAUCACUACGAGAUGGACCUGCGUUGUAUUAGCUAGUAGGUAGGGUAACGGCCUACCUAGGCGACGAUACAUAGCCGACCUGAGAGGGUGAUCGGCCACACUGGGACUGAGACACGGCCCAGACUCCUACGGGAGGCAGCAGUAGGGAAUCUUCGGCAAUGGGGGCAACCCUGACCGAGCAACGCCGCGUGAGUGAAGAAGGUUUUCGGAUCGUAAAGCUCUGUUGUAAGAGAAGAACGUGUGUGAGAGUGGAAAGUUCACACAGUGACGGUAACUUACCAGAAAGGGACGGCUAACUACGUGCCAGCAGCCGCGGUAAUACGUAGGUCCCGAGCGUUGUCCGGAUUUAUUGGGCGUAAAGCGAGCGCAGGCGGUUUAAUAAGUCUGAAGUUAAAGGCAGUGGCUUAACCAUUGUUCGCUUUGGAAACUGUUAAACUUGAGUGCAGAAGGGGAGAGUGGAAUUCCAUGUGUAGCGGUGAAAUGCGUAGAUAUAUGGAGGAACACCGGUGGCGAAAGCGGCUCUCUGGUCUGUAACUGACGCUGAGGCUCGAAAGCGUGGGGAGCAAACAGGAUUAGAUACCCUGCUAGUCCACGCCGUAAACGAUGAGUGCUAGGUGUUAGGCCCUUUCCGGGGCUUAGUGCCGCAGCUAACGCAUUAAGCACUCCGCCUGGGAGUACGACCGCAAGGUUGAAACUCAAAGGAAUUGACGG